rnacentral:rRNA from 1 species
UACGUAGGGGGCUAGCGUUGUCCGGAUUUAUUGGGCGUAAAGAGCGUGUAGGCGGCCAGGUAGGUCCGUUGUGAAAACUCGAGGCUCAACCUCGAGACGUCGGUUGAAACCGUUUGGCUAGAGUCCGGAAGAGGAGAGUGGAAUUCCCGGUGUAGCGGUGAAAUGCGCAGAUAUCGGGAAGAACACCCGUGGCGAAGGCGGCUCUCUGGGACGGUACUGACGCUGAGACGCGAAAGCGUGGGGAGCGAACAGG